GAGCAGAGUUCAAUCUGGCUGUGACAUCUGUCACCUCAUUGAUUGCCAGGGUUGAUUUGGCUGAUCUGGAUGGCUAGAAGGUGUCCCCUUCCUCCCUCAACAUUCCAUGUGCUUCCCUCCUGAAGCUGCAUACCUGGUUGAAGAGGACGACCAUCCCAGAUAGAGGAGAACCAUUCCUUGGUCAAGAGUAUAUGAGUAAUUAAACUCCCCUGCUCUCAAGGUUCCAGCUCUUAAGAUCCCAGCCUCAAAGCCAGCCAGAGGUGGUUAUAUAACUAAAAAUCCUGUUCAUACAGUUAAAGGUGGCAAAUUAGUAGCUAUCCCAGUUUGUCAGUUUUU
rnacentral:snRNA from 1 species